GCAAGUCUAUUCGAGUUACUUUCGGGUAACAAGGAUGGCGGACGGGUGAGUAACGCGUAAGGAACUUGCCUUUUGGUCUGGGACAACUGUUGGAAACGACAGCUAAUACCGGAUAUUGUAAGACUCUCGCAUGAGAGACUUAUGAAAGUUAUAUGCGCCAAGAGAGAGCCUUGCGUUCCAUUAGCUAGUUGGUGGGGUAACGGCCCACCAAGGCGACGAUGGUUAGCCGGCCUGAGAGGGUGAUC
rnacentral:rRNA from 1 species